CCUACGGGAGGCUGCAGUGGGGAAUAUUGGACAAUGGGCGAAAGCCUGAUCCAGCCAUGCCGCGUGUGUGAAGAAGGCCUUCGGGUUGUAAAGCACUUUCAGUGGGGAAGAAAGCCUUGGGGCUAAUACCCUCGAGGAAGGACAUCACCCACAGAAGAAGCACCGGCUAACUCCGUGCCAGCAGCCGCGGUAAUACGGAGGGUGCGAGCGUUAAUCGGAAUUACUGGGCGUAAAGCGCGCGUAGGCGGUCUGAUAAGCCGGUUGUGAAAGCCCCGGGCUCAACCUGGGAACGGCAUCCGGAACUGUCAGGCUAGAGUGCAGGAGAGGAAGGUAGAAUUCCCGGUGUAGCGGUGAAAUGCGUAGAGAUCGGGAGAAAUACCAGUGGCGAAGGCGGCCUUCUGGACUGACACUGACGCUGAGGUGCGAAAGCGUGGGUAGCAAACAGGAUUAGAUACCCCUGUAGU
rnacentral:rRNA from 1 species